GGAGCCAGGGCCACAGCAGCUUCUGAGUGUCUGAUCCUGGAGCACAGUGAACUAACUCCCUAAAUGGCCCUUCUGGAGUUGGCAGGUAGCGGGGGCUCUCUUCUCAAAUAAAAGUAAUAAGUCUACUAUGGUAAUGUUAAUAGGUCUGGACACAGCUAGAGGCUGCUGUUCUCCCCAGCAAGGUGACAAUGUGUGGAUUAGAUCUGUGACUCAUAGCCAGUCUCUGACCUCAUCCUGGACAGACACGGAGGUAGCCACGGCAGCACAUCCACAGACCUCCCAGAAGAGGACUGCCAUUGCUUCAGAGAGUGAUGAGGAGGAUGAGAUAAGUGUAUUUGAAGUGAGGUGGUUAAUUUCAGUGGAAUU